UACGUAGGCAGCGAGCGUUGUUCGGAAUUACUGGGCGUAAAGAGUGUGUAGGCGGUGCUCCCAGUCUGUUGUGAAAUCUCCCGGCUUAACUGGGAGGGUGCAGCGGAAACUAGAGUGCUAGAGGGUGGGAGAGGUAAGCGGAAUUCCUGGUGUAGCGGUGAAAUGCGUAGAUAUCAGGAGGAACACCUGUGGUGUAGACAGCUUACUGGACCACUUCUGACGCUCAUGCACGAAAGCGUGGGGAGCAAACAGG
rnacentral:rRNA from 1 species